rnacentral:rRNA from 1 species
AUGCUCAAGCUCGACAUUGCACGUGCUUUCGACUCCGUCUCCUGGCCAUUCCUCCUCGACACCCUGCGCCACCUCGGCUUUGGUCGACGCUGGUGCGAGUGGGUCUGCAUACUCCUUGGCACGGCCAGCACGCGCGUCCUCAUCAAUGGCAGCCCAGGAUCACCGAUCAUCCAUCGGUGCGGCUUCCGGCAGGGCGACCCGCUCUCCCCCAUGUUCUUCGUCAUGGUCAUCGACAACCUCAACACCUUGUUUUGUCGUGCGGUGGCCGACGGUGUUCUCCAGCGCCUUACCACCCGUCACAUGUGA